rnacentral:lncRNA from 12 species
UCUUUUGGGAGGGAACUGCUUUGCUAAAGUAACUGUAGUGCUCUGUUUGGGGACUGCUUUGAGUAUGAAGCAGAGCCAUCAUUUUUAACAAUUCAAUCUACUAUGGUCUAAAAUACACCAGAUCCCUUUUAGAAAGAGCAGAGAGGAACUAAAAAUUCUCUUAAAAUGGAGAUCACUUUGUUCCUCUGAAGAAAAGCUUACUUUAUAGCCAUACUGUAGAAAUUACUCUAGGGUUUGUUUAACUUUUUUUUCUUCUUCUUUGUUUCUUUCUUUAAGAGAAAGAGUCAUAAUUGCUAAGAUUUAUUCAGGAAACUUUUCUCUAGAGGAUUCUAAACAAUUUUGCAGUGUUUCUUAACCUCCUUAGCCACCCCCUUGGGGUCUCUCCAAAUUGCUGUCUCAUUAAAGAAGGAGUGCCCUACCCAGGCUUUUGGGGAGAACACAUUCAACUAUUUCUCAGAUGUAUCAUAUAUGUAGAGAUGGGCGGGAGUGGGGGAUCUUCAGGCAUUAGAUCAUCUGGUUUAUUCCAACACUGGGAAGUUGUUCCCAGUUGGAGAUCUCAAGAGUUGUGAAUGGCUGCUAACCUGAGGAACUUCACAUCUGUUACUUGAGCCCAGUUCUUGAGCAGCAAGACCUACUGAUGGAACAGGAGCUGCUCUGUGGACCUGAGGCCCAGCACAACACAAAGGACAAUGAGCUCAGCUCCUGGGCCCCUGGGGAUCAGUGCUUGCAGAAGGAGAACAGGCCUGCCAGGGCCCUAGAAACAGCCAACCCACAUGUGGUGGGAAGCAAGGCAAGAGCGAAGGAGGAAUGUGAGGAAGACACAAAUACAGCACAAUGUCUUCUUUCUGAGAAACUUCAUCAAGGCUCUGAUUCCAGUGACCUCACCUUCAAGCAAUGCCAGCUCCGUUGCUCUAAAUCAAAGUUGACUUGUGGUGGUGGCUCGCAUGUUUCGAGUCUAAUGAGCCUACAGCUUCUGAUGUUGCAAAGAAAUCCUGAGGGUAGUUAG